UACGGAGGGUGCGAGCGUUUGUCCGGAAUCACUGGGCGUAAAGGGCGCGUAGGCGGCUUGGGAAGUCCGUGGUGAAAGCCCGAGGCUCAACUUCGGGUCGGCCAUGGAUACUCCUAAGCUCGAGUCGACUAGAGGCUAAUGGAAUUCCGGGUGUAGCGGUGGAAUGCGUAGAGAUCCGGAAGAACACCGGUGGCGAAGGCGGUUAGCUGGGGUCGGACUGACGCUGAGGCGCGACAGCGUGGGGAGCAAACAGG
rnacentral:rRNA from 1 species